GCGCGUAUGGCUCGUAUCAUUUACGAGGCACGCGACGGGAGCCCUGAGUGGCUCUCUAUCGAAAGCUGCUCUAAACCCAGGUCUCACUUGGAGAUCGAUCUCACUCGGAGAUCACGAGUCUGUUGUAGAGUGGCGUCAUCUUACGUCCAGUCCACCGAACCGGUGUGCACAAUUGCUGGCGGUGGAUACCAGACUCCCCCCACGGGUCGUCAUGUGCGAGGCAAGGUCGGGGAUAAGAUGUCACGGCAGCAAUUGAAGAUAAAAUUGAGUUUCUUCAUGUAAAUGCUAGCAGGCUGCUACAUUUGCACAAUGAGUGAGUGCAAAGCUUCUCUUUAAUUUAUACUUAUCCUUAUCCAAGCAGACUGUUACCUAAUACGUCUGAGUCUAUAUUCACUUCAUCCAGGAAAAUGCUUCAAAAUCGCGUUUUUCGUCGGUAAAUAGCAUUGUAACCUUGCGUCAGUUGACACAAGAUUUCACUGCCGCAUCCGGAAUCUCAGUGCAUAGCUGUCUAUGCAUCAUGAGCUUAGGUAUUGUUUCCUUUUUCGUUAGGUCAUGCCUCAACUUGUAGCGCUUAAUCGCUCAUGCCACAACAAAGUUUGCGGACUUGUUAAAGGUUAAAAGAAAAUAUAUUUCCUUCAACAGAUGUCCGUCAAAUGAGGCUACAAAUGAGCUGUUUUCUUCUGCCAAUUAUGUUACUAUAGCACGUUGCUAAUGGAAGGCGGUCAUGAAUAAGACUAUUUGCAGUUGUGCCUCAUCAUCAUUUAUUUGCCAAAUACAAUUUCAAUUGCUACUGUUAUCCCCGGCUAUAGUGUCUACGGUGGCGAGCUUUCUCCGCGGACCUUCAACUUCAAGACCUUCUACUUCAAGACCUUCUACUUCAAGACCUUCUACUUCUAGACAACUAAAGGGAUAUUCGCGUCAUACUGUACUCUCGAUGACCUGCAUGUCGGGCGUGCCAUGUCCUGAGGAGCGUUGUUUUCAAUACCCUCAGUGCACAUACUGCACCAGACUAUAUUUACGGACGUUGACUGUUUGUUUUAGGCACUGUUUCAAGCAUUGUACGAUGGCCGAAAACAAUAGUAUUUGUUAACGUUUUCAAGUGCCAUUCGGAAUAUCCGAAACUACGACGCAAUGUUAGUUGGAAAUAACGUAUCUAGUUAAUCAUGUUAUCGCAUGAUGUUCUUGUUCAUUGGCAAACAUUAUUUCAGCAGUCGAUACGUCCUCCAAACUUCAGUAACUGUUACUAUAUAGUCCCCGUUCGUCACAAACAACCGUUGACAUUUUGUCAACCUCAAAUUCGAAUAUAUUAACCGUUUACACGCACGAGAAUAUCCCUUUAUCCAAACUAGCAAGUGUGUCUACUGUUUUCUUACUAGGCAAACAAAAGUUUGUCACAGCAUGUGCGCAGUUCACUUUACCUAUGUGCAUUCAUACUAAAAGCCAUUCGUCCACAUGCAAGUUAUUUAUUUGCGCUAUUGACGUAAGCUUUCAUGAAGGCCAAACCAAUGCUGAUUCGUCAAUGCUGAUUGUCAGCUUGAAAGUAAAGAUGAGCAAAGUGGUUCAACUGAAUCUUAUGGUUGCAGUAGGGCAUAUUAGAAGUAAGUGACAAGUAUAUGUCAGCAAUUGUUUAUGCUUCUUAACCCUAGAUACUUUUGAUUCGAUCCUUUGGGUGAUGACGUAAUGUGGCAGAAAACAGUAGACACACUUCAUCUCAUCGGAAACCCUGAAUGAUUGGUAUUUGUGAGCAUGUGUGCCUGUGAGUGUGUAAGGGUGGAUGUGGGUGUGUGGGUAUGUAUGUGCGUAUGUGAGCGUGUGCGUGUCAUCUUACACGUAAUUUAGUGAAUGAGUGAAUAGGUACUAGUUUUCAAGUAAAUACGUGCAUGAGUGCGUGUAGUCAGUGGUGUAUGGAACUAGCAUUGUGCCUGCCUGCUGCCAACGAAAUAUGCAAGCCCACACAGAGAAAACAGUUUUAUUGUGCAAAACUUCAUGCUGCUGGCAGGGUUUACAUGCAAGUCACAUAUUGCAGGUCUACCAUAAGCAGAGCGAUGUGACAUCUGAUAAGUACCUAACUCACAGCAACACAUACUCUGCAUGUCCAGGGAAAGUGAGUUGUGCUCGGAACAGAUUGGCCAGACAGUUUUGUCCUAUCAAAUUCAGAAUUGUUUCAUCCUCCUCACAGUUGCCAUUAACAUCAUGAGCACACAUUAUUGCUAGAUCUGAAUGCCAGCUGCCUAUUGCACCGCUGGCACGUAUGUUUGAGACAAAGGUGCCGCCAGUUUUCCACCUCGCUGCUGAUACAAUGCAAUACUGCUACAAAAUGUCCGUGUUCAGUGUUUUUAGUGUUGUAUGUUUGUAUAUGAGUCUUGCGUCGUGUGAACAUUACCUACAUGAGUUUAAAGUGUUCCCGCGAAAGUAGGUACUGAAUUAGCUCAAGCCAGGAUUGCGUUGCGGAUAUAUUUGUAGGCCAUACAAUGUUUUAUGGCGUCAUUUACGACAUUUCCUGUUUUUCUUGUCGUUGUAUGCACGUGAGUUGUGCCGCAUGUUGCGCUUGCAAAUCAUGUUCUCAAUGUCAUUUUCUUUUGGUACAAUUGGUCACCACUACACAUCACUCGCAUACACUCGCCCAAGCAAGUCGGAUAUCAAUCACUGUCCAGAAGUGCAUGAUGCAUUCAACCACGCAUAGAACACUGGCACACCAAGAACAUGAACUCACGCAAAAACGAGAGGGCUAUCACACGACUUCGCAUUGGACACACCGCUAUCACACACAACUACAUCAUCACAAGAAGCCCGAGACCGAAAUGCAACACCUGCAACACUUUCAUCACUGUCAAACAUCUGCUACUCACAUGCCCACAAUACCGACACCACAGGACACACAUACAAACAUACUGCAGAGACGCCAACAUCCCACUAACACUCACAACACUGCUCGAGGACUUACACCCCGAGCUAACAACACUACUCAUCCACUAAAGACACAACACUGGGCUGAUCAAUGACCUGUAAAUCUCCUCCCCUAGAGCCAAGGACAAAAAAGCCAAAAAAGCCAAAAAAAGAAGCCAAAAAGAAAAAACAAUAUUCAAAACAAUGAGAAUCAAAAUAAAAGACCCCAGAAUGGCAAAAUGGCAAAAAAAAAAACAAAAACAAAAAAACAUAAUAGAAGGGGCAAUUCGGCUACCCGGGAGGAGAUAGCUAGGAACCCUGUCCCACCCCUCAGCCCACCCUUACGAGCCAAGAAGACGACGGACACUUCAAGACAACGGACGGACCAACAACGAAGACGGACGACAGAACCGGGCCCAAAUACAGGACGCUGUGGUGGCCCGUAAGCCACAAAUACCAUACCAUACCAUACCAGUGCAUCAUGCAGCAGAAGAAGCUUCAUUGAACACACUCGUCAUCAUGAACGGCAUCUAGGAGUUUCAUGAGUUUGGAUCUGUGACCAGUUGUUUUCGCAGUAUCCAAUAGCAACCGUGUAUGACCAGGUGCCGCUUGGACGCCUUGUCCAGCCACGUCUUCCGGGACUGUGUGAUGACUGCCUCUGCAAUCUCAAGUGCCAGUUUCUGCCUCCGGCCUAUUUCUUUAUCAAAGGAUGUUGGUAACUGAACGACCAGCUCUGCUCCAAGAUUCCAAAUCGUUUUACGGUAUUGUAUGCCUACAAAACGUUAGUAUUUGUUUUGGAGGCGGUAAUACUCGGAUGAACUGACCUUUAUGGGUGGGUAUUCAACGUUGAAUCAAGUAGGCUUGUAGCCAUCUGCCUAUUGACUUCUAAGGGUUUUAGUAAAAUUUAUAUAAUAUCUCAUCUGAAAUGCAUUUUCACUCUCAGUCGUCGAAAUUGAAAAAUCAUAAGCUUAGAAAUCCGCGGGCUUGACAUAUUAUAUUUUCUCGACGAUUCGUUUCGACUUGCCGACAUGUCAGCUAAUCAUCCGCUGCUUCUCCUAUUUUCACAGGUGCAUUACUCUCAAGUGCCAGUUUCUGCCUCCGGCCUAUUUCAUUAUCAAAGGAUGCUGUUAGCUGAACGAACAGCUCUGCUCCAAGAUUCCAAACGUUUUUACGGUAUUGUAUGCCUACAAAACGUUAGUAUUUGUUUUGGAGGCGGUAAUGCUCGGAUGAACUGACCUUUAUGGGUGGGUAUUCAACGUUGAAUCAAGUAGGCUUGUAGCCCUCUGCCUAUUGACUUCUAAGGGUUUUAGUAAAAUUUAUAUAAUAUCUCAUCUGAAAUGCAUUUUCACUCUCAGUCGUCGAAAUUGAAAAAUCAUAAGCUUAGAAAUCCGCGGGCUUGACAUAUUAUAUUUUCUGGACGAUUCGUUUCGACUUGCCGACAUGUCAGCUAAUCAUCCGCUGCUUCUCCUAUUUUCACAGGUGCAUUACCAGUCGUCUUUACCGUCGAUACCGUUGAAGAUUUUACCGUCGAUCAGGGAGCACCCAUUGCGCUGGCCGUUGCUGGCACUUUUUUAUUUGUCACUAGCUAUUAGUUAUCUGCACAUAUACAUUAGCCACCUGUGCACCCGGUUACACUAGCUCUCAUCAUCUAGUUCUACGUAUGUGUGUGUUUGUUUUAAUUGAAUUGCCAAUGAAUUCGGUAGACAUGCUCCGCCCGCAAACAUGUACCACAUGAUGCAGUCCACUGAAUGUAGCAGUUAAUCACUCGUAAAAAGCAGUCAGGUUUUCGUAUAGUGUAGGUUUGCAUCUAUGUAAGCAUGUGUUCACACUCAUGAGCGAUCGACACAUGAUAUUGCAUUUCCUGUUCAGUUACAUUUUUAGCACUGGAACACGAUGCUCAUACACUGUGUUGUUAUCUUUCUUUUUUCGCCUGCUCCUUCCUCCAACUUGUGUCUUUGAGUAUUUCAGUCACAUGCUCAAACGUUCUUAAAUGCUCUCGCCAUCGGUUUACGGAUGCGUUGAAAACGGACAUGUGUUGACCAAAUUUAACAAUAUGCGGACAAUGGAUCGACUUCUUGAAGCCUCUGGGCGUGAUACACCUUCUCCAUCACCAUCAAGAGAUCAACAUUUUCGAAGACACUUGCGUACGGCCGGUAUGUAUUCAUAUUUGAAUGUCCAUUGUCAACACGUUGCAGAAUGCUUUACAUUUUGUGUGAUCAUUUACUGUCCUCAUUCCUACACAAUGCCAACAUGUUUGUCAUCGUCUUCAUGUACCUAUCUAUUGGGAUUGAUGUUUGCGUUUACUGACAGACACUUGUCAACAUUUUCAGUAGUGUCCGGCGCAAUGCUGAAUGCGACCUGUUAUCUGUUGGAUCUACUCUGUGAGCCCGAACCCCAGUGCAAUGGCACUGUUCGACUACAGCGCUGGACGUCGUCUACUUUUUGCUAGAAGCAAAUGUCACCAUCCGUCCAUGAACUUCGGGCUGCUCACAGCUAUAUUGCCUUGGCAAGUUCUUUGAGCACUUAAUACUGGACUUGGGCUGCGAAAGCUAAUGACAAUUUGGGGAGCUUGAUAUUGCAAUGGCUAUGACGUGAAGGUCCAAUAUGGCGAACAGCUCGACUAUUCACCAUUGUCAACGCUUAUGAUAGCUAAAUAUCAUUGUGCUUGGUGUACAUUCACGUCUCGUUUCCUUGCUCCAUUUGUACCUCACCGGUCGUCCGUCCCCACAGGCCUCGGCUGCAGCACAAGCUACAUUCAUCGGCCCAAUCAUCAGUUAUUCGUCCUGCAAGUUUUAAGUCACUUCGUUGUGACCCGGACAUCGUCAUCUUUCAACGAGUUCAAAUGAUUAUUUCAUUCAUCAUCGUCGAUCAGACUCAUCAUGUAAAGACACUUCCAUAAUGCUAGCCGCCAUCUACGUUUGUGCAGGAAGCAAAUAUCAGGUUGUUAUUAGCUGCGGGCUACUCAGUACCGACUGAAGUACUGGCAGUAGUGUGCGAGCACCUAAUACGUGUAUUGUGAUACCAAAGCUAAAACGGAUGAUAGCUUAGCGCAUAGCGCCCUACCGCUUUCCACACACACACACAAACAAAACUUGACUUUGGGCAUUAGCACCAUGGCAGGAUAAACAGGCAGUUUCGCUGUUUUUCACUGCUUUCAUUGGCAGGUGUUACUGCUCAUUCCCGUUUUAUGUGAUGUUAGAACAGCCCUUCACCAUAGUCCUGUUUUCUCCUUUGCCGUUUUCCAUAGACAUCAGAUGCGACAUGCACUCCAACGAUCGGUCAGGCGCAUCACCGUCAAUCCGGUCGCCUGUUAAGCAGUUCGUAAUCACCGUCAGUCUUCGACAUCUGUCAACACACUUAUCCACAUUAUCGCCUUACUUUUGAUCUUAUCAAUAUGCAAGAAUGAGUGCAAAAUGCAUUCCAAUAUUGCAUCAGUUGAUGUUGUAUCGCAAUGACACCGCGUCCUCACCUCACAUCUGUUGUGCAUACUUGAUCACGAAUGCCAGUUAUACGCAGAUUCACAUGGUGAAGUUUUACUCCGUUGACGUUUUCUUUCAAUACUUGUA